rnacentral:piRNA from 1 species
UGUUGCUGGCAAGUCCGUUAA